rnacentral:rRNA from 1 species
UACAGAGGUCUCGAGCGUUAGGCGGAAUCACUGGGCUUAAAGCGUGUGUAGGCGGAUUGCUAAGUACCUUGUGAAAUCCCACGGCUUAACCGUGGAACUGCUUGGUAUACUGGCUGUCUUGAGCCACUUAGGGGCAACCGGAACAAACGGUGGGAGCGGUGAAAUGCGUAGAUAUCGUUUGGAACGCCAAUGGUGAAAACAGGUUGCUGGGAGUGAUGCUGACGCUGAGACACGAAAGCCAGGGGAGCAAACGGG